rnacentral:rRNA from 1 species
CACGUAGGGCGCAAGCGUUGUCCGGAAUUAUUGGGCGUAAAGAGCUCGUAGGCGGUUUGUCGCGUCUGCCGUGAAAGUCCGGGGCUCAACUCCGGAUCUGCGGUGGGUACGGGCAGACUAGAGUGUGGUAGGGGAGACUGGAAUUCCUGGUGUAGCGGUGAAAUGCGCAGAUAUCAGGAGGAACACCGGUGGCGAAGGCGGGUCUCUGGGCCGAUACUGACGCUGAGGAGCGAAAGCGUGGGGAGCGAACAGG